rnacentral:rRNA from 1 species
CCUACGGGAGGCAGCAGUGAGGAAUAUUGGUCAAUGGGCGCAAGCCUGAACCAGCCAUGUCGCGUGCAGGAUGACGGCCCUAUGGGUUGUAAACUGCUUUUUUACGGGAAUAAUUGUCUCUACGUGUAGGGAUUUGAAGGUACCGUAUGAAUAAGGAUCGGCUAACUCCGUGCCAGCAGCCGCGGUAAUACGGAGGAUUCGAGCGUUAUCCGGAUUUAUUGGGUUUAAAGGGUCCGUAGGCGGGCAAUUAAGUCAGUGGUGAAAUCCCAGAGCUCAACUCUGGAACUGCCAUUGAUACUGGUUGUCUUGAAUUUAGUUGAGGUGGGCGGAAUACGUUAUGUAGCGGUGAAAUGCAUAGAUAUAACGUAGAACACCGAUUGCGAAGGCAGCUCACUAAACUAAUAUUGACGCUGAUGGACGAAAGCGUGGGGAGCGAACAGGAUUAGAUACCCUGGUAGUCCACGCCGUAAACGAUGAUUACUCGUUGUGCACGAUACACUGUGCGUGACUGAGCGAAAGCAUUAAGUA